AUGAGAGAACUAAACACUAAUUGUUCCACAAAGAAGGCUGAGAGGAGAGCCAUGAAAGAGCUUGGUCUGAAGAGGGCACGAAACUUUGGGUGGCCAAACACCUAUGUCUUCACCAAGGCACUGGGGGAGAUGAUGAUCGGGCACCUGCGAGCGGACAUUCCAGUGGUAAUCAUCCGCCCUAGCAUCAUAACCAGUACCCUCAAGGAGCCAUUCUCUGGAUGGACGGAAGGAAUCAGGACAAUCGACACAAUUAUCGUCCGAUACGCCAAGCAGACCUUGUCAUUCUUCCUACCUGACCUUGAUUUGAUAAUUGACGUGAUUCCAGGGGACAUGGUGGUGAACGCUAUGAUGGUUUUCAUGUCAGCACACUCGGAGGAUCAGCAAGAGCAUAUCAUCUACCAUGUAACAUCAUCACUGCGCAACCCCGCACCCUACGCCGUCCUCUCAGAUUCAGGCCACCGCUACUUCUUUGACAACCCACCAUGCACGGGAAGGAAUGGCGAGUUUGUGCAGCUGAAGAAGAUGCGAUUCUUCAGUACAGUCGAACGAUUAAUAAUGUACAUGACCAUCAAAUACAAGCUUCCCCUUGAGAUGCUUCAUCUAGCAAACAUCCUGCUAUGGGGUGUUUUCUCACGGCACUACAAUGAGGCCCGCAGAAAAUACAGAUUCGUCAUGCAACUGAUCGAGCUCUACGCACCAUACGCCUUGUUCAAAGGGUGCUUUGAUGACAUGAAUUCACAGAAGCUGAGGAUGGCGAUGAACAAGCAUCAAAAUAUCAAUGUAGCCUACUGCUUUGACUUUGACCCCAAGUCCCUCGACUGGGAUGACUAUUUCUACAGUGUUCACAUCCCCGGUGUGCUAAAAUUAUGGAUGAUUAAAUAA
rnacentral:rRNA from 1 species